AACGGUCUAUACCUGCGGUACCUGCGGAAGGAUCAUUACAGAGAACUUGCCCUUCGGGGUAUAUCUCCCACCCUUUGUUUACAAUACCAUGUUGCUUUGGCAGGCCCGUCUUCUAGACCACUGGCCUUGGCUGGUCCGUGCCUGCCAGAGGAUAAAAAACCCCAUAUUUUUGUGUUUCUGAGCUCUAAGUAUCGAUAGUUAAAACUUUCAGCAACGGAUCUCUAGAUCGGAAGAGCACAC
rnacentral:misc_RNA from 1 species